GGCUGGUCUGAAGGUAGUGAGUUAGCUCAGUUGAUUGUUCACAGUCAGUUAUAGAUCAAGCUAUUUGUUCUACUCUUCCCCUCUUCUCACUACUGCACUUGACUAGUCUUAA
ensembl:Y_RNA Y_RNA Y RNA